GACGAACGCUGGCGGCGUGCUUAACACAUGCAAGUCGAACGGUAAGGACCUGCUUUUGUGGGGUGCUCGAGUGGCGCAAGCGGGAGUGACACGCGAGUGACCUGCCCUUGAGUUUGGGAUAACUUCAGUGAACAGGAGCUCUUAUCGGACAGGAGCACCUUCUGCAUGGUGGGGGUUGGAGAGUUUCGUCAGUUCAGGACGGACGGGCGGUUUAUCAGUUUGUUGGUGGGGUAGUGAGUUACCAAGGCGUUGACGAGUAGCCGGACUGAGAGGGUGACCGGCCACAUUGGGACUGGGGAACGGGCCAGACGCCUACGGGAGGAAGCAGUGGGGAAUAGUGCAAGAUGGGCGGAAGCCUGGUGCAGCAACGCCGCGUCGGAGAUGACGGUCGUCGGGGUGGAACCCUGGUGCGCCUGUGACGAAGAGCGAGUGACGGUAAUUGGUAAAGAAGCAACGGCUAACUACGUG
rnacentral:rRNA from 1 species